rnacentral:rRNA from 1 species
UGGGGAAUUUUGCACAAUGGGGGAAACCCUGAUGCAGCGACGCCGCGUGAUUUAGAAGGCCUUCGGGUUGUAAAAAUCUUUUUUACGGGAUGAAAAUGACAGUACCGUAAGAAUAAGGUCCGGCUAAAUACGUGCCAGCAGCCGCGGUAAUACGUAUGGACCGAGCGUUGUCCGGAAUCAUUGGGCGUAAAGGGUACGUAGGCGGCCUAGUAAGUUAGAAGUUAAAUAAUAUAGCUCAACUAUAUAAAGCUUUUAAAACUGCUAGGCUUGAGAGAUGGAAGGGAAAGUGGAAUUCCUAGUGUAGCGGUGAAAUGCGCAGAUAUUAGGAAGAAUACCGGUGGCGAAGGCGACUUUCUGGUCAUCAUCUGACGCUGAGGUACGAAAGCGUGGGUAGCAAACAGG